rnacentral:rRNA from 1 species
AUGCAUAGGAAUCUACCUAGUAGUAUGGGAUAGCCACUAGAAAUGGUGGGUAAUACUGUAUAAUCCCUGCGGGGGAAAGAUUUAUCGCUAUUAGAUGAGCCUAUGUUAGAUUAGCUAGUUGGUAGGGUAAAGGCCUACCAAGGCGAUGAUCUAUAGCUGGUCUGAGAGGAUGAUCAGCCACACUGGAACUGAGAUACGGUCCAGACUCCUACGGGAGGCAGCAGUGGGGAAUAUUGGACAAUGGGCGCAAGCCUGAUCCAGCUAUGCCGCGUGAGUGAGGAAGGCCUUAGGGUUGUAAAACUCUUUCAGUAGGGAAGAUAAUGACGGUACCUA